rnacentral:tRNA from 1 species
GGUCGCGUAGCUCAGUCGGACAGAGCGCCAGUUUCCGGAACUGGAAGCCGGGGGUUCGAGUCCCUCCGCGACCGCCA